rnacentral:rRNA from 1 species
GGUUAAGCGACUAAGCGUACACGGUGGAUGCCCUGGCAGUCAGAGGCGAUGAAGGACGUGCUAAUCUGCGAUAAGCGUCGGUAAGGUGAUAUGAACCGUUAUAACCGGCGAUUUCCGAAUGGGGAAACCCAGUGUGUUUCGACACACUAUCAUUACGUGAAUACAUAGCGUAAUGAAGCGAACCGGGGGAACUGAAACAUCUAAGUACCCCGAGGAAAAGAAAUCAACCGAGAUUCCCCCAGUAGCGGCGAGCGAACGGGGAGCAGCCCAGAGUCUGAAUCAGCAUGUGUGUUAGUGGAAGCGUCUGGAAAGUCGCACGAUACAGGGUGAAAGUCCCGUACACAAAAGUGCAUAUGUUGUGAACUCGAAGAGUAGGGCGGGACACGUGGUAUCCUGUCUGAAUAUGGGGGGACCAUCCUCCAAGGCUAAAUACUCCUGACUGACCGAUAGUGAACCAGUACCGUGAGGGAAAGGCGAAAAGAACCCCGGCGAGGGGAGUGAAAAAGAACCUGAAACCGUGUACGUACAAGCAGUGGGAGCA